rnacentral:tRNA from 1 species
CGGGGAGUGGCGCAGCUGGCUAGCGUACGUGCUUUGGGAGCACGGGGUCCCGGGUUCGAAUCCCGGCUCCCCGACCA